rnacentral:rRNA from 1 species
UUGUGACGCCAGUCGCAUCGCCGGGUAGCUAUGUUCGGAAGGGAUAACCGCUGAAAGCAUCUAAGCGGGAAGCCUACCUCAAGAUAAGAUUUCCCCGAGACUUUAUGUCUCCUAAAGAGCCGUUGAAGACUACGACGUUGAUAGGUUGGAUGUGGAAGCAUAGUGAUAUGUGAAGCUGACCAAUACUAAUUGCUCGUGAGGCUUGACUAUACAACACCCAAACAGUUG